AUUGAACGCUGGCGGCAGGCCUAACACAUGCAAGUCGAACGAGUGGCGGACGGGUGAGUAAUGUCUGGGAAACUGCCUGAUGGAGGGGGAUAACUACUGGAAACGGUAGCUAAUACCGCAUACCAUCAGAUGUGCCCAGAUGGGAUUAGCUAGUUGGUGGGGUAACGGCUCACCAAGGCGACGCUCCCUAGAGGGUCUGAGAGGAUGACCGGCCACACUGGGACUGCGACACGGUCCAGAGUCGUAGGGGAGGCAGCAGUGGGGAAUAUUGCACAAUGGGGGCAAGCGUGAUGCAGCCAUGCCGCGUGUAUGAAGAAGGCCUUCGGGUUGUAAAGUACGUUCAGCGGGGAGGCGUUACCCGCAGAAGAAGCACCGGCUAACUCCGUGCCAGCAGCCGCGGUAAUAC
rnacentral:rRNA from 1 species